GUCGAGAAUCUUCCGCAAUGCGCGAAAGCGUGACGGAGCGACACCGCGUGAUGGAUGAAGUCCUUCGGGGCGUAAACAUCUUUUAUAAAGGAGGAAAUUUUUGACGUUACUUUAUGAAUAAGGGGCUCCCAAUCUCGUGCCAGCAGGAGCGGUAAUACGAGAGCCUCAAGCGUUAUCCGGAAUCAUUGGGCGUAAAGGGUGCGUAGGUGGUUUGAUUAGUCUCCCGUUAAAACUUCGAGCUUAACUCGAAAAGAGCGGUGGAAACGGUCAAACUAGAGUAUGUGAGAGGUGUGUGGAACUCAUGGUGUAGGGGUGAAAUCCGUUGAUAUCAUGGGGAACACCAAAAGCGAAGGCAGCACACUGGCACAUCACUGACACUGAGGCACGAAACCUAAGGUAGCGAAUGGGAUUAGAAACCCCAGUAGUCC
rnacentral:rRNA from 1 species